rnacentral:rRNA from 1 species
CCUACGGGUGGCAGCAGUGGGGAAUAUUGCGCAAUGGGCGAAAGCCUGACGCAGCGACGCCGCGUGAGGGAUGAAGGUCUUCGGAUCGUAAACCUCUGUCAGCAGGGAAGAACGGUCACUGUGCUAAUCAGCAGUGAAUUGACGGUACCUGCAAAGGAAGCACCGGCUAACUCCGUGCCAGCAGCCGCGGUAAUACGGAGGGUGCGAGCGUUAAUCGGAAUUACUGGGCGUAAAGCGCACGUAGGCGGUAUGUCAAGUCAAGGGUGAAAUCCCCGCGCUCAACGUGGGAACUGCCUUUGAAACUGGCAAACUGGAGUGUGUGAGAGGGUAGUAGAAUUCCAGGUGUAGGAGUGAAAGCCGUAGAGAGCUGGAGGAACAUCAGUGGCGAAGGCGACUAUCUGGCACAUAACUGACGCUGAGGAGCGAAAGCGUGGGUAGCAAACAGGAUUAGAUACCCCAGUAGUC